CCUAUGGGCGGCUGCAGUGGGGAAUAUUGGACAAUGGGGGCAACCCUGAUCCAGCCAUGCCGCGUGUGUGAAGAAGGCCCUCGGGUUGUAAAGCACUUUCAGUGAGGAAGAACGCCUGGUGGUUAAUACCCAUCAGGAAAGACAUCACUCACAGAAGAAGCACCGGCUAACUCCGUGCCAGCAGCCGCGGUAAUACGGAGGGUGCGAGCGUUAAUCGGAAUUACUGGGCGUAAAGCGCGCGUAGGUGGCUUGAUAAGCCGGUUGUGAAAGCCCCGGGCUCAACCUGGGAACGGCAUCCGGAACUGUCAAGCUAGAGUGCAGGAGAGGAAGGUAGAAUUCCCGGUGUAGCGGUGAAAUGCGUAGAGAUCGGGAGGAAUACCAGUGGCGAAGGCGGCCUUCUGGACUGACACUGACACUGAGGUGCGAAAGCGUGGGUAGCAAACAGGAUUAGAUACCCGAGUAGUC
rnacentral:rRNA from 1 species